AGGUCCCAAGGGUUUGGCUGUUCGCCAAUUAAAGCGGUACGCGAGCUGGGUUUAGAACGUCGUGAGACAGUUCGGUCCCUAUCUGUCGUGGGCGUAGGAGAUUUGAAGGGAGCUGCCCCUAGUACGAGAGGACCGGGGUGGACGAACCUCUAGUGUUCCAGUUGUGGCGCCCGCCGCAUUGCUGGGUAGCCAAGUUCGGAAAGGAUAACCGCUGAAAGCAUCUAAGCGGGAAGCCUCCUCCAAGACAAGUCAUCCCAGAACUUAGGUUCCUAAAGGGCCCUGGAAGACUACCAGGUUGAUAGGCCGGAUGUGUAAGUGCAGUAAUGCACUCAGCUAACCGGUACUAAUUGCCCGUGAGGCUUGACCAU
rnacentral:rRNA from 1 species